rnacentral:rRNA from 1 species
UCCUACGGGAGGCAGCAGUAGGGAAUCUUCCGCAAUGGACGAAAGUCUGACGGAGCAACGCCGCGUGAGUGAUGAAGGCUUUCGGGUCGUAAAACUCUGUUGUUAGGGAAGAACAAGUGCUAGUUGAAUAAGCUGGCACCUUGACGGUACCUAACCAGAAAGCCACGGCUAACUACGUGCCAGCAGCCGCGGUAAUACGUAGGUGGCAAGCGUUAUCCGGAAUUAUUGGGCGUAAGGGGCUCGCAGGCGGUUUCUUAAGUCUGAUGUGAAAGCCCCCGGCUCAACCGGGGAAGGUCAUUGGAAACUGGGGAACUUGAGUGCAGAAGAGGAGAGUGGAAUUCCACGUGUAGCGGUGAAAUGCGUAGAGAUGUGGAGGAACACCAGUGGCGAAGGCGACUCUCUGGUCUGUAACUGACGCUGAGGAGCGAAAGCGUGGGGAGCGAACAGGAUUAGAUACCCUGGUAGUCCACGCCGUAAACGAUGAGUGCUAAGUGUUAGGGGGUUUCCGCCCCUUAGUGCUGCAGCUAACGCAUUAAGCACUCCGCCUGGGGAGUACGGCCGCAAGACUGAAACUCAAAGGAAUUGACGGA